CUCCAGAAUAUUUUAGAAAUGCUGUCAUUAAAUGAGCAUCAAAAAUAUAAACGUUUUCUGGGCUAGGACUCCAGACCCUCCUAUUUUCCUCACAAAUUACUUACGUGCUGGGGUAAAGGAAAAGAAGCUAAAAUUGGGGCGAGCGAAGCUCCUCAAAAGAGAUUAGAGUGGGAGAACCUAAUAUUCUUUGCUACCUCAAAUGCAAAUUUAAGGUUGUUAUAUAUUGAGUAUCCAUGAUUCUCAUUUACAUAUUUUGAAACAUCUUUUGUGAGUGGUUGGGUAAAACAAAUCUUUGCCAGAACUUAAGAGCCUCUAGAUUCAAAUUAUUUAAGGGAACACCCCCUAUAGCUCCCGCAUCCAAAAUCGAGUUUGUCUGGCCUUUCUCCAAUUCUCCCACACAACCACACCAUUAUUGUGUCACCUAUAUGCAGGUAAAAAUCCUUCGACGUCCCAGUCAAACACCCGUUGCCUUCGUAACAUCCCUAUAUUUGCAGUUCUAAAUUUUUCUUAAAAUAAACCCUGCACACAAUAUUUUAAAUCUCCCCCCUCCCCCCCCCUCGUCGACCGACUUUUUCGGUAAAAAAAAAAUUCCGACGGGUCUCCCCCCUGACUACGGCGCCACUGCCGAGCCCGCGUUAAAAAUUCACUUGUAAAAAAACAGACUGUUUUAAACUUCAUCAGAUAUAAUCCUCAUUUAAUACAUAUUGAAAAAAUUAGGGUUAGAAAAGGUGUGUGUUUCAAGCUGUGUGCCGCAAAUAAGUGAACAAGAUUUUAGGUUUCACACCGAUGCCCAGCAAAGCAUAUAUUCUACAGAAUUUUUGCAUUAUUGACAGCAUGAGGCUAUAUAAUCAAGGAUUCCCUUUUUUACACAAUACAUAUUAUACAUUUUAUCAGGGGCCCCCCAAAAUUUUGCCAGGGGGUGGGGGGGGGGGCGGGCCCCCCGACCCCAGUCCUGGCUACGCCUCUGUUUUAUUCAUCUGCAUGGAGUAGGCACACGGGUGCCAAAACUAAAGGCGGUUUUCUUCUAGGCGAAAUUUUUCGAUCGAACCGAAAGUUCUAUUGUUCAAAUUCAAAAGAUUUCUCAUUAGUUCCAUCUGAGUGCUACAAUCCUGGAAAAAAAUUAGUAGACUUCUUAAAUUUUCAAACUUUGUCCCCCUCCCCCCUUAUACAAUGUUGG